rnacentral:rRNA from 1 species
CCUACGGGAGGCAGCAGUAGGGAAUCUUUCACAAUGGGCGAAAGCCUGAUGGAGCAACGCCGCGUGCAGGAUGAAGGCCUUCGGGUUGUAAACUGCUUUUAUAAGCGAGAAAUAUGAUGGUAACUUAUGAAUAAGGAUCGGCUAACUACGUGCCAGCAGCCGCGGUCAUACGUAGGAUCCGAGCAUUAUCCGGAGUGACUGGGUGUAAAGAGUUGCGUAGGUGGCAUAAUAAGUAGCUAGUGAAAUCUGGUGGCCCAACCAUUCAGACUAUUAGCUAAACUGUUAAGCUCGAGACCGUUAGGGGUAACUGGAAUUUCUAGUGUAGGAGUGAAAUCCGUAGAUAUUAGAAGGAACACCAAUAGCGUAGGCAGGUUGCUGGGACGGUUCUGACACUAAGGCACGAAAGCGUAGGGAGCAAACGGGAUUAGAUACCCGAGUAGUC